AUAAUACUCCAUAGAUUAGAGACACUGGAAUGUUCUUUAGUCGAAAGUUCUGGCGCCUUAGGAUGGAUCUGCGGUCGAUUAGGUUGUUGUUGGGGUAACGGCCCAACAAGCCUGUAAUCGAUACGGGUUGUGGGAGCAAGAGCCCGGAGAUGGAAUCUGAGACACGAUUCCAGGCCCUACGGGGCGCAGCAGGCGCGAAAACUUUACAAUGUAGGAAACUGUGAUAAGGGAACUCCGAGUGCCCGUAUACGCGGGCUGUCCAGGUGUUUAAAAAUCAUCUGAAGAAAGGGCCGGGCAAGACCGGUGCCAGCCGCCGCGGUAAUACCGGCGGCUCGAGUGGUGGCCACUAUUAUUGGGCUUAAAGCGUCCGUAGCUGGACCGAUAAGUCUCUUGGGAAAUCCGCCGGCUCAACCGGCGGGCGUCUAAGGGAUACUGUUAGUCUAGGGACCGGGAGAGGUGAGAGGUACUCCGGGGGUAGGAGUGAAAUCCUGUAAUCCCCGGGGGACCACCGAUGGCGAAGGCAUCUCACCAGAACGGCUCCGACAGUGAGGGACGAAAGCUGGGGGAGCGAACCGGAUUAGAUACCCGGGUAGUCCCAGCCGUAAACUAUGCGCGUUAGGUGU
rnacentral:rRNA from 1 species